rnacentral:lncRNA from 1 species
UGAUAGUGUAGGCAGGAACAACUGUUCCCAAAUUAAUUUUCUGUCAAGAAAGGUCCACUACAUGUGCCAUUUCAGGUACUCUCCACCCCCUUUUGUUUCCAUGUUCCUAAUAAUAUCCUGAAAAAGCAUCCCAUUUCUGUAAAGUUGAAGCAACUCACAGCUAAGAUCUUACAAAAAUAGAAAAAACAGCAUUAUUUUAGGAGUAAAUUAUAGCCUAUAAGUGGCAAAAUUUUCAUAAAAUUAAGCAAAACAUCAUUAAAAUGGGAGAAAAGACCAUUUGGGUCAAAGAAUGUGUAUGCAAAUCUAAAUAGGUUGAUGAAAUUAAAAACCACAUAACCUUUUUAGAAACUGCAGAAGUACAUAUAAUUUAUACACUUCUUUCUACUCAAUAUGUGCAAAAUAUGGCCGCCAUGUCCACCAUUGAGUCACAUGCGGAUGGAAGUUUUUUGCACAGAUCGAUCAUCACCUUUUAUAAAAGAUUCAUCCAAUUAUUUUAUGGCAACAUAUACAUGCUUAAUCUGAUUUGAGAAAAUUAGACCCAGUUGGAGUUUUCCCCUUUUACUUUGUGAACCCCGGAAAAGAAGAAGAAGAAGAAAGAAAAUGUCAUUAUCCUAUGACUCACUUAGGACAGAAGUAGAUGUACGUAGAAAAGGAAACGUAGUAUGUAAUGGACUUGGACUAAAACGUUAACAUACUAAAACAGAUAUAAGCGGCAAGAAGCAAGAAAACUUAGCAGAAAAAGGAGAAAAUACAAGUUAAGGAAGAAGAAGAGAGAGGCUGUGAGGAAGAAGCAGUUGGUUGGGAUUUUAUAAAGGGUUGUACAAAGCUUGCAGCUAGGGUUUCGGGCAGUAGGCGGGCUGUCAUCCAUGAGGUAGAUGCUAAGGGCAGUGCUGGUUUGGCUGCCCAACUAUUUAAA